GCUCAUGAGGGACUGCCUAGAUUAGGCUAGUCGAGGUGGGAAAACCCACCUUAACUGUGGGCAGUAUCAUCCCAUUGUCUGGGGUCCUGAGCACCAGCAUUGACCAUUUUGGCUAUAUAUGUAAUGUCUUCCUUGGCCAUGAGGAAGACACAUGUGUACACACAGACACACACACACACACGAGUCUCAUUCAUUUGGCAGAAAGCCAUUGAGAAGCUCAGAACCUACUGAUUUGGAGAAAAGAGGAAAAUGUGUGUAAACCAUCCAAUAGUUGCUCAUGUUUACAAAGUGAAACAUAGUCAGUUAUCCUUGUGGACUCACUGGCUACCUCACUGUCUUUACCAAUUCCGUCCGCCUCUCCAACCCACCCACCCACCCCAAAUGGCCCUACUCCUCCUAGGACUUACCAAGACAGAACAAGAUCAAGAAUUGGGAAUUAAUGAUGCCCCUUGUUAACAUACUUUCCCCAGAAUGCAUCUUCAACUUGCUGUUCCUGUUAAAGUUUAAUUCUGGGACCUGCCAGUAAGGGCUGUCCUUCAGUUCUUAAUCUUCAGAGCUAGCCCACAACUUCUGUUUCAUGGUGAUAAUCAGGACCUGAUCUCUCAGCAAAGUAUCAUACCACUUCCUACUGACUUGGUUUUCGUUGGUCUCCAACCACACAGAAAUAAUUCAGACCACCUACUUCUAAGCUUAUUCAUGCAAUUCUACCAAGCUUCUGAGGAAAUGCUAAUCAUAUACUAAUUGGUGUUGUCCCCUGCCCUUUUGUUGUUUGGUUUGUUUCAAUAUUAAUUUUAUUUAUUAUUUGAUAGUUCCAUACAUGUAAACAAUAUAUCUUGAGCAUCUCCAGCCCCAUCUCUAAACUCCCACUUCUCUUAGACACUUCCGUUUUUGUUGGUUUUUUUGUUUUUUUGUUUGUUUGUUUGUUUUUGGAGACAGGGUUUCUCUGUAUAGCCCUGGCUGUCCUGGAACUCACUUUGUAGACCAGGCUGGCCUCGAACUCAGAAAUCCGCCUGCCUCUGCCUCCCAAGUGCUGGGAUUAAAGGCGUGUGCCACCACCACCCGGCUUAGACACUUCCAAUAUAGCCUUCUCCCCACUCCUUGUUCUCUCUGAACUUUUUCAUAAAGCCUUGUGCUCACUAGUUUUAUGUCAACUUGACACAAGCUAGUCAUCUGAGAGGAAGGAACCUCAGUUGAGAAAAAUGCCUCUCUAAGACUGGACUGUGGGCCAGCCUGUGGGACGUUUUCUUAAUUAGUGAUUGAUGGAGGAGUGUUCAGCCCACUGGGGGUGUAAGGGUCCAUGAUUUGCUAAAGAAUGAUACCCUAGACUCAAGUUGUAUGCAAAAGUGAAGAGCUUUUGCUAAAGUCCAGCAUGCUGGGGUCUGCCAAGAUGGAGAUGCCCAGGUUAGUUCCAAGGUCCAAUUUAAAGUGGUUUGGGGGAAUUCCAAGGAUAAAGGUGACCUUUACUUCAUUUGGUUGGCUCUAUCUCCAGAGAAGCCCCAGAAUGGUUGCUAGGGGGCUGGAAAUUGUUGCCGACUCUGCCCUUGCCUCAGGCCAGGUGGUAGGGCAGCCUCUGAUGGUGAGGCAGUUUCUGAUUGGCUGCCUGAGGCCAGGUGGUGGGCAGCCUCUGAUGGUGAGGCAGUUUCUGAUUGGCUGCCUGAGGCCAGGUGGUGGGCAGCCUCUGAUGGUGAGGCAGUUUCUGAUUGGCUGCCUGAGGCCAGGUGGUGGGCAGCCUCUGAUGGUGAGGCAGUUUCUGAUUGGCUGCCUGAGGCCAGGUGGUGGGCAGCCUCUGAUGGUGAGGCAGUUUCUGAUUGGCUGCCUGAGGCCAGGUGGUGGGCAGCCUCUGAUGGUGAGGCAGUUUCUGAUUGGCUGCCUGAGGCCUAGGGUUUUUCCAAUAACUGACUUGCCUGGAUUUGUCUAGUUCUGGGAAACAAAUGUUUAGGUCUAGUCUCCUGACCUACCAGAUUGAAGACUGCCAUGGAGUCAGCGUCUGAGUGAUCCCAUGGGUAGUGCCACCCACUGAGCUGUUGGUCCUGGGUUCUAUAAGAAAGCGGGCUGAGGAAGUCAUGAGGAGCAAGCCAGUAAGCUUCUCCUGCCUCCAGGUUCUGCCUGGUCUCAGUACUGCCUUGGCGCCCCUCAGUGAGCUAUGACUCUAGAAAUGUAAACCAUAUAAACUCUUUCCUCCUGGGGUGCUUUUGCUCUGGUAUCGCAUCACAACGGCAGUAACCCCAAGACACCCACUGAGUCCAGUCCGUGCUAAUUGUUGGAAUGUUGAGUAAUCCUGCAGGCUUGAUUUUGUCUAAUAGCCACAGCUGCAAUGAGUUCACGGCAAUGUCACAUCCUGAAGGUUGUACCAUGCCCAUCUGUCCUCAGACUCUGGCGUUCUAUCUAUCCUAUCUGGUGUUCCUCAAGCCUUGGUUGGGGCGGGAGUGAUAUAAAUGUCCCAUCUAGGGUGCUCAAUAGUCAUUUAUUCUCAGCAUCUUUACAUUCAUCGCUGACUACUGUGGAGAAGUUUCCCUCGCACUAUUGAGUAUAGCUCUAUUAAAUAUGAACAUCAGAAAGGCAGUUUAAUAAUAUGCCCAUGGGAUCCCUUUCUUACUUCAGCCUAGAUUUGUUUGUUCGUUUGUUUUUCAAGACAGAUUUUCUCUGUGUAGUCCUGGCUAUCCUGAAACUGGCUCUGUAUAGGCCAGGUUAGCCUGGAACUCAGAGAUCUGUCUGUCUUCCUGAGCACUGAGGUUAAAGGCCUGUUCCACCACCAGCCAGUUUAUAAUAAAUCUAUUAACCCUCUCUCAACCUAGAAGAAUACUGGAGCUUUUCUUUAAAAGUAUAUUGGUCAAGAGAAAAUUUUAGGUUCUUCUCUGGGAGAAAGGAGACGAAUGAUUCACAAUGAGACGAGGGGGACUGUAACUGACUGUAUUCCAGACAGUACAAACCGGUCUCCCUUCCAACCCCAGCUUCAGAAGUGCAGCAACAGUGCCACCUCCCUGCAGGAGACAACAGGAACCUCAAAGGAAGAGAUUCAGACUGUUAUCAACCUUUGCUCCUAUCCCCUGGAGGAACCAGCCGUCACCUAACACAAUCCCAAUCCAAGUUCCUGUAAUGUGUGACACAAAUUUUAUGAUUUUUUUUUUAACUGCAAAUUGACAACCAGAGGAUAUCGUGAUAAUGGUCAGAAGUCUCUACUAAGAAAGUGAGAAGCGGGUGCUGGAGAGAUGGCUCAGUGGUUAAGAGCACUGGCUGCUGUUGCAGAGGACCCAGAUUCAGUCAACAGCCCCUACUGCUAACAGCCUCCAUAACUCAGGUUCCGGGAAUCAGAGGCUCUUUUCUGACCUUGGGCACAAGGCACACAUGUGAUGAACAGAAAGUGGGGACUGCAGUCAUCAACUCACAGCAGCUAUGGUUACCUACCCAAGACCAAGCCAGUCAAAUCUCAAGAAUGUAUAGGGGAGGAGUUGAGGUCCUGCCUCUAACCAUGGAACUAUUUAUUAGCAGUUUAUAGUCGCUGGGGAAAAGGAGAAUUGUUCUUUUUUAUAUUUUGUAAGAUUUGUUUAGCCAGGCCUUGGUGGCAACGUGCCUUUUAUCCCAACACUCAGGAGGCAAAGGCAGGUGGAUAUCUGUCAGUUCGAGGCUGGCCUGGUCUACAGAGUAUGUUCCAGGAUAGCUAGAACUACAGAGAAACCGUGUCUCAAAAAACAAAAAAACAAAACAGAAAAACAAAAUGAAAUGGCAUUAUUUUAUUCUUGUGUAUGAGUGUUUUGCCUUCAUGUAGCUCAUAUGUGUGGCUGGUGCUCUGGGAGGUCAGAGGAGGGCUUUAGAUCCCCUGUAACUGGAGUUGCAGAUGAUUGUAGGAGCAGAACCCUGGUCCUCUGCAAGAGCAACAAGUGCUCCACCACUGAGCCGUCUCUCCAGCCCUAGAGAUUCAUUCUUUUAGUGGGUAUGGAGACUGGUAGAUUGCUCAUGCUUGCAGAAAGUUUUAAUCCUCAUCUGGGGUUUCUAUUCCACCUUUGACCAUUUAGUUCCUGGAUAAAAGACGCACACCACCUUAUAUUUACAAUAAGCCUUAAUUGGCACUAGAUCUGGGCAGUUAUCUACCUUCUAUGCUAUUAAAAUCUGGUUCCUAUCGAAACCCUGAAUUAUUACUUACUCUGGUUCAUCUGGGCCAGAGUAACUCCAAUUUGCCAGCCUCAGGGCCAUGCUUUCUUGACCCAUGGUGUCUUUCCCUUUCUCCUCACCUUCUCCCCCUCAUGGUUCUUCUCAGGCCCCUAGGCCCAGAAACCAUAACCCCUGCCUAUGUCUCUUCUGCCUAGCUAUUAGCUGUUUGCAUCUUUAUUCACCAAUCAGAAAUAAGUUGGGGGCAAAGUCACAUAGUGUCACUUGGGUCUAUGUGUGGAUUCUCUCGUCUCUGGGGCAACCAGGUCUUGAGGAGCCAGGAUUAGGAUUAGGAUGCAAGCAGCAUCAGGCCAAGCCAGUACAAUGAUUCAGUGAAUGACCACAUACCCAUGGGCAUAUGGGCAGCACUAAUUUGAUAUAGUGGGUAUGGUGGUUUGAAUAUGUAUGGUCUUGUCUUAGUCGGUGUUCUGUUGCUUGGAAGAAACAUCGUUCCCAGUGCAACUCUUAUAAAAGAAAGCAUCUAACUGGGGCCUUGAUUUCCAUUUUAAAGGCGUAGUCCAUUGUCAUCAGGGCAGGAAGCAUGUCAGCAAGCAUGGCAGAUGUGAUGCUGGAAAAGUAGCUGAGAUCUAUACAGUGAUCUGUAAGCAGCAUGUAGGGAAAGAAAAACAGGGCCUGGCUUGGGCCUUUUGAAACUUCAAGGCCCAUCUCCAAUGACACACUUUUUCCCACAAGGCCUUACCUACCUCAACAAGGCCACAUCUCCUAAUCGUGAUGACUAGGCAUUCAAAUCCAUGAGUCUAUGGGCGCCAUUUUUACUCAAACCAUCACAGGCCACAGGCCCUAUAGGUUCAUAUUUGAAUGCAUAGCCACGAGAGAGUGGAACCUUUUGCAAGAAUUAGAAGGCUUAGGAGGUGAGGCUUUGUUGAAAGAAGUAUGUCCCUGGCUGGGUAUUGAGGUUUCAAAAGCCCACACCAGGAGUAGCUCUUCUCUCUCUCUCUCUCUCUCUCUCUCUCUCUCUCUCUCUCUCUCUCUCUCUCUCUCUCUCUUAGAUCAGGGUGUAGAUCUCAACUACUUCCUCAGCAUCAUAUCUUCCAAGCCUGCUGCCAUGCUUCCUGCCAAGCUGAUAAUGAGUUAACUCUCUAAAACUGUAACCAAGCUCCUAAUUAAAUCAAUCUUUUUUUUGUUUGUUUUGUUUUUUUGGGCUUUUGAGACAGCGUUUCUCUGUGUACUCCUGGCUGAAACUCUGUAGACCAGGCUGGCUCAAACUCAAGAGAUCUUCCAGCCUCUGCCUCACCAGUGUUGGGAUUAAAGGCUGCAGCCACCAUGGAUACCUGGCUGGCUGAAUGUUUCUGUUAUGAUAGUUGCCUUGGUUACAGUGUCUCUUUGCAGCUGUAGAACAGUAACUAGAUAAUAAACUAUUGAGAGAGAGAGAGAGAGAGCGAAGUGUAUGAGAGAGCAAGCAUAAAUUUGGGAGGAAGCUAUGUUGGAAUGAUCUGGGGAAAGCUGGUGACGAUGUUGCCAUAUUUCAUUGUCUACAUGUAUGAAAUGCUCAAAGAAUAACUUUUAAUACAUAGAAACUAUUUGUAUGUGAGUGUCUGUGUGGGUUAAUGGCACAUGUGUGGAUACUUGGGGAGGACAGAAAAGAGCAUUGGAGUCCCUGGAACUGGAGUGACAGGCAGUUGUGAGUCACCUGUCAUAGUGUUGGGAACUGAACUCAAGUCUACUGGAACAGAACUAAGUUCUGAGUCAUCUCUCCAGCUCCUGAAAACUUCUCUUAACAUCAGAUACAAGAUAAUGCUUUGUUCUGCAUGUUUAUUCCUCCAAACUCAUACAUAGAAACCUAACUUAGAUAAGGCUUAGGAGUUGGGGGUGUCUGUAGGAGAUGAAGAUGGGGUCUCUUGGGUUUCAGACCCUGGACAAAGGGCUGACUUGCGUAUUUAACAUACCAAAGCUGGGGCUGGCAAGAUGGCUCAGCGGGUAACAACACUGACUUCUCUUCUGAAGGUCCUGAGUUCAAAUCCCAGUAACCACAUGGUGGCUCACAACCACCCAUAAUGAGAUCUGACGGCCUCUUCCAGUGUGUCUGAAGACAGCUACAGUGUACUUAUGUAUAAUAAUAAAUAAAUCUUGGGGCCAAUGGCUCACAACCAUCUGUAUCGCUACAGUGUAUUUAUAUACAUAAUAUAUAAAUCUUAAAAAAAAAAAAAAGCAUACCAAAGCUGACCUGGCCUCCAGGUUCUCCCAGCAUCCCUCAGUCCCUACCUAGCAUAACCCACCCUCUACCCUGAACUUUCCAGCCCAGGGGCUUGCUGGUAUUCUGUCUGGACUCCAUUCCCACAGUUACCUGGCAACAGACAGGUAGGCCUGGUCCACUAUAAACAGAAUCGCUUGCCCCCUCCUUUUGUCUCUCUUAUUAUCACAAGGCUGGUCUUUCUCUCUCUUAAGAGACAUUUUCCUAUAUAAACCAAACAUUUUGCAUUUUGGUCUCUCUCCCUUUCCCUCUCCUCUUCCUCUCUUGUCAUGUACACACACUUUUUCUCUUUCUCUUUCCCCCUCCCCUUUGUCUCCUUUCCCACGGGACUUCCCUGGUCUCAUUCCUUGGGACCACCUGCCUGUAUAUACUUUAAUCUGGCUUCAAUUGGCAUGUUUCACUGGCAGAGAAAUAACAUCAUUCUCCAGUGAGCAGAAUUUGUAUCCAAAAAAAAAAAAAAAAAAAAAAAAGGAGAGACAGACAGAGACAGAGACAGAGAGAUGGUUCAGAGUUAAGAGCACUGACUACAUUUCCAGAGGUCCUGAGUUUAAUUCCCAGCAACCACAAGGUGGCUCACAACCAUCAUCAAUGGGAUCCGAUGCCCUCUUCUGGUGGGUCUGAAGACAGCUACAGUACAUAAAAUAAAUGUACUCAUGUAUAUAAAAUAAAUCUUUUAAUAAAGGGAGAGAGAAAGAGAUAGCUCAGAGAUUAAGAGCACUCUUGCAGAGGAUUGAGGUUCGAUUCCUAGCCUCCACAUACACACCCACACAAAAUAUAAGUCACCUCUUUUCUUGGCUUUUUGGAACAGGGUCUCAGUAUGUCAACUUAGCUGUCCUGGAAUGCCUACGCAGACCAGGCAGGUUUGAAACUCAGGUCUGCCUCCCAAAUGUUGGGAUUAAAGGAGAGCACCACCAUACCUGACUAAUAUAUUUUUUAAGAGUCUUGAUAAGUUGUUUUUCUACCAGUGAAAUGAGCCAAUUCAAACCAGAUUAAAACAUAUAUAAAUGCAGAUUUAUAGGGUGAGUUCACUGGCCCCAAGGAAGAAGGGAAAUUGUCAUGGGAAGGUAGAGAGGGAAGGAAGAGAGAAAGCUCACAUGAAGAGGGAAGGAAAAUAGGACAGAGAGAUCCCCAACUAGCUUUCAAAUAAAUGAGACUCAGACUAUGGUUAUUUUAUUUGGCUUUGGCAAUUACUGGGGGUCACCCUUAAUUUGCUCUUCUAACUGCAGGCCUGGCUACCCUCCCAGCAGUGUACCCCAGAUACUUGCUGUUUCUCCUGGCCAGGAGCUCACGGUUCCUCUCCCCUCUUGGCCUCUUCCUCCUCAUUCUCCCAGUC
rnacentral:lncRNA from 1 species